CGUUACAAUUUUUGUGUUUAGCAAGUGUUUGAGCGAUUGAUAAAAAGUGCUAGAUGCUAGAUAAAAUAUAAAAUCUAGUUAUUCGAAAGUCGACUUGUAAAUUUUCUAUAAAAAGGAUUUAUUCAGGAAUGGGUCAUACGGCAACCAGAUAGAUUAUUCCACAUGUGGAAAAUCCUUCCCUGAUGCACUUCGUCAUACACAAAGAAUCUAAUUCCACUAACACAAUUCUUCAUAAAUUUUUUUCCAUGCUGUAAUGGUAAGUUUUUUCCCUACUUCUUUUUAAUUAUCUACUAUUGCUGUAUUAUUUGCAAUAAUGUCCGUAUUUAAUGCACUGUUUCAUUUUAAAAAAAGUGAUACAGUAUAUUCAUUCGUUAUCUUUUCUAUUUAUCAACCAAAAAUAAUGAAUGGAAAAAACAAACCUGAAUUCUCAGAUUCUGUUGCAAGUCAUUAUAAUUAAAUAUGGACAUAAUUUGAAUAAUGUACCGAAUCUGAUGCCUACAAAAUCGUCUAAAACUUUCAAUUUUUAUAUGUAUUUUAUAUCUAGAUAUUCAAUUAUACAUAGGAACCUAGUCUCAAUAUUUAACCAAUGGCGAAACAGUAAGCGGUAGAAUAUCUCACGUGAGAUUGAUGUUAUCAGAAAAAGAUUUAACAAAAAUUGUUUAGUUCGAAAGAAGACAUCACAUACGGUGCAAAUUACUUUUUUGUUAAUCUAGCAGGAGGGUUCCAUUU